rnacentral:rRNA from 1 species
AAUAGAUACCCAGGUAGUCCACGCCGUAAACGAUGAGUGCUAAGUGUUAGAGGGUUUCCGCCCUUUAGUGCUGCAGCUAACGCAUUAAGCACUCCGCCUGGGGAGUACGGUCGCAAGACUGAAACUCAAAGGAAUUGACGGGGGCCCGCACAAGCGGUGGAGCAUGUGGUUUAAUUCGAAGCAACGCGAAGAACCUUACCAGGUCUUGACAUCCCACUGACCGGUAUAGAGAUAUACCUUUCCCUUCGGGGACAGUGGUGACAGGUGGUGCAUGGUUGUCGUCAGCUCGUGUCGUGAGAUGUUGGGUUAAGUCCCGCAACGAGCGCAACCCUUGAUCUUAGUUGCCAGCAUUUAGUUGGGCACUCUAAGGUGACUGCCGGUGACAAACCGGAGGAAGGUGGGGAUGACGUCAAAUCAUCAUGCCCCUUAUGACCUGGGCUACACACGUGCUACAAUGGAUGGUACAAAGGGCUGCAAGACUGCGAAGUCAAGCCAAUCCAUAAACCAUUCUCAGUUCGGAUUGCAGG